AUGGAGCGGUGCGGGAGCUGGUCCGAGUCCGACGCCGCGGCGCAGGCGGCAGCGCAGAAGGCCGUGCCGGCGCCGUUCCUGACCAAGACGUACCAGCUCGUCGACGACCCCGCCACCGACCACAUCGUCUCCUGGGGCGACGACCGGGUCUCCACCUUCGUCGUCUGGCGCCCGCCGGAGUUCGCCCGCGACAUCCUCCCCAACUACUUCAAGCACAACAACUUCUCCUCCUUCGUCCGCCAGCUCAACACCUACGGGUUCCGCAAGGUCGUGCCGGAGCGGUGGGAGUUCGCCAACGAGUUCUUCCGCAAGGGGGAGAAGCAGCUGCUCUGCGAGAUCCACCGCCGGAAGACGUCCGGGUCCACCACGUCGUCGUCCCCGCCGCCCUUCUUCGCGCCCCCGCACUUCCCGCUGUUCCACCCGGGCGUUUCGGUCGCGCAUCACCACCAGCAGUUCGUGGGCGAGGACGGGGCAAUGGCGGCGCACGCUGGCAUGGGCGUCCCGUUCAUGCAGCCGCAUUGGCGCGACCAGGGCGCGCCUCGGCUGCUGGCGCUGGGCGGCCCCGCCGCGCCCUCGCCGGGGGCGGACGGCAACGGCCGCGCGUCCAGCGCGGCGGUGCUGAUGGACGAGAACGAGCGGCUGCGGCGCAGCAACACGGCGCUGCUGCAGGAGCUGUCCCACAUGCGCAAGCUCUACAACGACAUCAUCUACUUCGUGCAGAACCACGUGCGCCCCGUGGCGCCCAGCCCGGCUGCGGCCACGUUCCUCCAGGGCCUCGGCAAUGGCAUGCAGCCGCGCAAGAUGCCGCCGGCCAGCACCGGCGCCGGGAACGGGCUCAACACCUCCGGCGGGAGCACGACGUCCAGCAGCUCCCUGACCAUCGCCGACGAGCUCUCGCCUCCGCCCAACCACCUCUCCGCGGAGAAGAGCGGCGGAGAGGCCGGCAGCAGCAGCGCGGCUCUGUCGGCGCCCACGAAGCUGUUCGGCGUGCACCUCAGCGCCGCCCCGGUCGGCGCGGGGAGCAAGAGACCGCCUUCCCCCGAGGAGGAGCUGCCGUCCACGCCCCCUGCCACGAAGGCCCGGCUGGCGCUCGAGAACGACGACCUGAGCCUGUCCGUGGCGCCGCCGUCGCAGCCUUGCGCCGCCUCGUCUCCAGCUAGGAGUUAG
rnacentral:rRNA from 1 species